AUGCAAUUGUUGAAACAUAAAACUAUGACUUGUGGUCUCUGCAUUUCAGUAUAUAUAAAUUAUAUUGCAAUUUAAGCAGAUUCUCAAACUGUUAAGGUCAUCAAAAGCAAGGAAAGUCUGAGAACCUGUCAGUGCCUAAGGAGACAUGAGGAUUAAAAUAAUGUAAUAUCUUGGAUGGGCUCUAAGAACAGAAAAGGGAACAUUUUUAAGUGAAUCAAAUCUAAAUGAAAUAUGUAGUUUAGUUAAUAACAAUAUAUCAGUAUUGGUUCAUUGUGACAAAUGUACCUCACUAAUGUAAGAUGUUAACAAUAGGGAAAACUUGGCCACUUUCCAUAAGCCUGAAACCAUUCUAAAAUUCUUUAAAAAUAGAAACAAGUAGGAUGUGGGGGGGGGGGGGGGGAUGAAUAAUAUGGCAGUCACCUAAGAACCUACUGGAAGGUCAAUAAAAUGAAAAUGAAAACAUCAAUAUACAUUAUUUAUUUCAAGCAAUAAGUGUAAAUAAGCCAUAGAAAGCAAAUGUUUUUAUUUACUGAACCUUAGCAUCAAAUAUAUUACCCUUCUAUAGAUAUACUUUCCCAUGAUAAAACUGAAGAUUAUCAGCAUUAACCAUUAAUUUUUUAACUGGGCUAUCACAUUUAAAAAGAAAAGGUUGUACACAUACAAGUGGCAAUGGACUGAAUAAACAGUAUAACUUUUAUGUUAGAGUAGCAGAUUCCUCAUCGUAAAUUAUCUAAUACCAGUGUUCCGUCCUGUUUAACUCCACCAUCCAUGGGUUACGUACAUUCUUUACGUGGGUAAACAGAAACAUUCAUUUCGUGCCUGCCAAAACAUUUUCUUCUCAGAUGUGUGUGUGUGUGUGCGCGAUUGGAAGAGCAACAUCAAUUCCUGGGUUAAUAGGACUUAUUGGCCUAAAGGGAGGGAGCAUGUUCUCCUGGCAAGCCUGAAAAACUCAGAAUCAGACCCACCAAAUUCUCAUCUUCAUCACAGCCCCAGGGUUCUUGUGUGGCUAGAGAAAUCCUUCACCUUCUGUGCCUUGUUUGUUCUUCGGAAAUCAGGGGAAAGCACCUUUCUCAGGAGCCUUAGGAGCCUUUAAUAAGAGUUUAAAAGUCAGAAGAG
rnacentral:lncRNA from 1 species